rnacentral:rRNA from 1 species
GUGCCAGCCGCCGCGGUAAUACGUAGGGUGCAAGCGUUACUCGGAUUUAUUGGGCGUAAAGCGCAUGUAGGCGGCUUUGUAAGUUUGAUGUGAAAUCCCUGGACUCAAUUCAGGAACUGCAUUGAAUACUGCAAGGCUAGAGUACGGGAGAGGUAGGUGGAAUUCCUGGUGUAGAGGUGAAAUUCGUAGAUAUCAGGAGGAACAACAGAGGCGAAGGCGACUUACUGGACCGUAACUGACGCUGAGAUGCGACAGUGUGGGGAGCAAACAGGAUUAGAUACCCGGGUAGUCC